CCCUUAGAUGUUCUGGGCUGCACGCGUGCUACAAUGGCGCUUGCAACAAGUCUUGCCAACCCGAUAGGGUGAGCGGAUCUUUGAAGAGGCGUCGUGAUCGGGACAGUUGAUUGCAAUUAUUCGACUCGAACGAGGAAUUCCUUGUAAUCGCGAUUCAUCAUAUCGCGCUGAAUACGUCCCUGCCCUUUGUACACACCGCCCGUCGCACCUACCGAUUAAAUGACUCGGUGAAAAAUUGGGACCGUGAGUCUGUUUGCUUCAUUGCGAGUGGAUUGAUGGGAACUUUUUUAAACCUCGCCAUUUAGAGGAAGGUGAAGUCGUAACA
rnacentral:rRNA from 1 species